CCUCUUCCUGCUGCAGUCUAUGUGAGCAAAGCAAGAUAUAGACCAUGAUGAGGAAGAAGGACAUCGGCUGAAACAUGUCUCAGACACCUGUUCCACAGAGAGAGGGGCAAGAAAUAGCACUGUGGGUGAUGGAAGCUUCAUUUCUUCUGUCACCCACCAGUGGUCAAGCAACUACUACUACCCCCAUUGCUGCUGAACAGGGGCCCACCAGUUGGAAAGGCAAAUGUGCAGGACUUGCAGAGGACUAAAAGAAAGGUGCAUCUAGUCUGGUAUCACAUUCCUGACAGUGGCCAACAGAGGAUAAUAUGGAAAUAGUGGAUGAACAGGAAAACAUACAGGGAUAUCACCCCAGGCUCCAACAAA